AUUGAACGCUGGCGGCAGGCCUAACACAUGCAAGUCGAGCGAGCGGCGGGCGGGUGAGUAAUGUAUGGGGACUGCCCGUUAGAGGGGGAUAACUAAUGGAAACGGUAUCUAAUACCGUAUACUCUCCGAUAACCAUUUUGGGAUUAGCUAGUAGGUGAGGUAAUGGCUCACCUAGUCAACGAUCCCUAGCUGGUCUGCGAGGAUGAUCAGCCACACUGGGACUGAGACACGGCCCAGACUCCUACGGAGGCAGCAGUGGGGAAUAUUGCACAAUGGGCGCAAGCCUGAUGCAGCCAUGCCGCGUGUAUGAAGAAGGCCCUAGGGUUGUAAAGUACUUUCAGUCGGGAGGCGUUACCGACAGAAGAAGCACCGGCUAACUCCGUGCCAGCAGCCGCGGUAAUAC
rnacentral:rRNA from 1 species